GUGUCAGCAGCCGCGGUAAUACAGAGGGGGCAAGCGUUGUUCGGAAUUACUGGGCGUAAAGGGCGCGUAGGCGGCCUUCUAAGUCGAACGUGAAAUCCCCGGGCUCAACCCGGGAACUGCGUCCGAUACUGGAAGGCUUGAAUCCGGGAGAGGGAUGCGGAAUUCCAGGUGUAGCGGUGAAAUGCGUAGAUAUCUGGAGGAACACCGGUGGCGAAGGCGGCAUCCUGGACCGGCAUUGACGCUGAGGCGCGAAAGCCAGGGGAGCAAACGGGAUUAGAUACCCCGGUAGUCC
rnacentral:rRNA from 1 species